rnacentral:rRNA from 1 species
AGGACGAACGCUGGCGGCGUGCUUAACACAUGCAAGUCAAGGGGGCCCAGCGAUGGGCAACCGGCGAACGGGUGCGUAACACGUGAGCAACCUACCGAACUGUGGGGGAUAGCCGGCCUAACGGCCGAGUAAUACCGCAUACGCUCUCAGAGAGGCAUUUCUUUGAGAGGAAACCUACGGGACAGAUCGAGGGGCUCGCGGCCUAUCAGCUAGUUGGCGAGGUAACGGCUCACCAAGGCAACGACGGGUAGC